UCACAAUCAUCUGGCACCGGAGUCUCGUGAAGCAGUGGCUUUUAGGAUUCUGCUGAUUGAGCUGAUGAGCCGCGGCUGUGCCGGCGCAAGAGCGUCCUCCUCCAAUCGGCUCUGCCCAGCCUGAAAGUGAAAAACACGCCAGCCAAACACACAGAAAACAGGAAUCCACAAAACACAUCUAAAACAAGUCCAUAACCCUCACAGUUGUUUACACUUACUGGCUCUGAUAAAUGGUGUAAUGUUUGUCAAACCCAGCAGCAGGUUUCAGGGUUCAGAGGGUUUCAAAUAAAGUAUAUUCCAGACUCACAGUGUUAUAUAUGAACCCAAACACACCUUUAUUGGCAGAUGAUGAUGUGUUUGCAACCCAGGAGAGAGAACAUGAUGUGAACCAACUUAUGAACUUGUUUUAGAGGAAACUUAUAUCUGCACACUGAGGCUGUGUUUACAGGAAGUUGUUUCAUAAAGACUGACGAAACCUUUAUUUUAUUUUUCAUCCUUUUGAUUUACUGAUCUGGGCACUUUUACAUUCUCUCAACAUAAUAUAUGAUCAGAUAAAGCAGAGUGAUAAAUGACUGUGACUUGUUGUGUUUGUGUUGCAGUCUGAGUCACAACAAGAUCACAGAUGCGUCGACAGAUGUGUUACUGCAGCUGGUCUCCAUGAACUCGUCCAUCGACGCUGUGCGACUCUUCAGCAACAACAUCGUGGACCGAGCAGCCUUUAAGAAGCACAAGCAGUUUGAAAUAUGGUGAAGCAGGCGUCAGUCAGGUGAUGAUCAGGGAGGAGCUGCUGGAUGUUUUCAUGAAAAACAGUUUUCUCCUGAUGAUCAGAUGAAAAUAUUGAGUCCAGUGCCGGCACCAAUACUCAGUUAUCAUCAGUACUGUGUGAUAUAGAGGCAUUAGUUUAAACCAACCUUGAUUUUUACCACAUUAGAUUUUCUUGCUUUUUAUAUAAUAAAUAAGACAACACUUAUUAUGGAGCAACGAGCAGCAUAAAGCGUUUUCUAGAACUUAGUGAUGUAUGUGUUUAUUGGUUUGUGGAGCUCAUAUUUAUGUUUGGUACCAUGUAAUGAUCAUGCUGAUGUUCCUACUUCUGAAAACUUUUUUUUCUUAUUGGGACAAACCAAAGAGAGACCAUAACUGUUAAUGUUGUGAAUAUCCAAACUUAUAUUUUUCUACUUUUGUGAUAACUGUAUUUAUUCUGGUUUGCGUGUUUCAGUCGAGGCAGAGUAAAGUGACCCUCUGACAAGAUCUCAAAGUGACGAUGCAGUAACAGUUAAUUCAGGAGAAAACUGUUUGGUACUCUGAGAUAACUGUAAGAAAUGAUCAGAACGCUGUAAAUAUGUGAAUGAUUUUUAGCUCACAUGUAAAAUUAAGUAAUACAAGAGGUCAUGUUUCUUUC